UGCUGGCGUAGCUCAGUCGGUAGAGCUACUGAUUUGUAAUCAGUGGGUCGGGGGUUCGAUUCCUCUCGCCAGCACCAG
rnacentral:tRNA from 1 species